GGAGCUGGUAGCUUUUAGAGAACUGAUGAGUUUUCUGCUUCAUCAUCUGCUUUUGUUUUCUCCAUUUUAGGUUGCCCAAAGCUUGCUGGCCGCUGUGUAGGGCUGGCGAGUGGCCGGGGCUGUCUGAGCCAUGAACAGCUUCAGGGCCACCAUCCUCUUCUGGGCAGUGGCAGCAUGGGCUACAUCAGGCAAGCCUUUGGGACAGACAGAUGAAGCUGGAGUUCAAAAAUGCAAAAAUGCCUUGAAACUGCCUGUCCUGGAAGUCCUACCUGGAGGGGGCUGGGACAAUCUGCGUAAUGUGGACAUGGGACGGGUUAUGGAAUUGACUUACACCAACUGCAGGACAACUGAGGAUGGACAGUAUAUCACCCCUGAUGAAAUCUUCACCAUUCCCCAGAAACAGAGCAACCUGGAGAUGAACUCAGAAAUCCUGGAAUCUUGGGCGAAUUACCAGAGCAGCACCUCCUACUCCAUCAACACAGAUCUCUCUCUUUUUUCCAAAGUCAAUGGCAAGUUUUCCACUGAGUUCCAGAGGAUGAAAACCCUCCAAGUGAAGGACCAAGCUAUAACUACCCGAGUUCAGGUAAGAAACCUCGUCUACACAGUCAAAAUCAACCCAACUGUAGCACUAAGCUCAGGUUUCAGGAAGGAGCUCCUUGACAUCUCUGACCGUCUAGAAAACAACCAGACGAGGAUGGCCACCUACCUGGCAGAACUCCUGGUCCUCAACUAUGGCACCCAUGUCAUCACCAGUGUGGAUGCUGGGGCUGCUCUUAUUCAGGAGGACCACAUCAAGACCUCCUUUCUCCAAGACAGCCAGAGCAGUCGUAGUGCCGUGACUGCCUCUGCUGGACUUGCCUUCCAAAACACCGUGAACUUCAAAUUUGAGGAAAACUAUACGUUGCAGAAUGUCCUCACCAAGAGCUACCUCUCAAACCGAACCAACUCCAGGGUGCAGAGCAUCGGAGGGGUUCCUUUUUACCCAGGCAUCACCCUCCAGGUCUGGCAGCAGGGUAUCACCAACCACCUGGUGGCCAUCGACCGCUCUGGCCUGCCACUGCAUUUCUUCGUCAACCCCAACAUGCUGCCUGACUUGCCAGGCCCCCUGGUGAGGAAGGUGUCAAAGACGGUGGAAACUGCUGUGAAGCGCUAUUACACAUUCAACACCUACCCUGGCUGCACCGAUCUCAAUUCUCCCAACUUCAAUUUUCAGGCCAACACAGAUGAUGGCUCCUGCGAGGGGAAAAUGACCAACUUCUCUCUGGGUGGGGUUUAUCAGGAAUGCACUCAGCUCUCAGGGAGUAGGGAUGUCCUCCUCUGCCAAAAGUUGGAGCAGAAGAAUCCACUCACUGGUGAUUUCUCUUGCCCCUCUGGCUACUCCCCGGUGCACUUGCUAUCCCAGAUCCACGAGGAGGGUUACAACCACCUGGAGUGUCAUCGAAAGUGCACUCUCCUUGUUUUCUGCAAGACCGUGUGUGAAGAUGUGUUCCAGGUGGCAAAGGCUGAAUUCAGAGCUUUUUGGUGUGUGGCCGGUAGCCAAGUACCUGAGAACUCAGGACUGCUUUUCGGAGGCCUCUUCAGCAGCAAGAGCAUAAACCCCAUGACAAAUGCGCAGUCAUGCCCAGCUGGCUACUUUCCCCUGAGACUCUUUGAAAACCUCAAGGUAUGUGUUUCUCAGGACUAUGAGUUGGGAAGCAGGUUUGCGGUCCCCUUUGGUGGGUUCUUUAGCUGCGCAGUUGGGAACCCCCUGGUAGAUCCUGCUAUAUCCAGAGAUUUAGAGGCACCUUCCCUGAAAAAGUGCCCUGGGGGCUUCAGCCAGCACCUAGCCCUCAUCAGCGACGGAUGCCAAGUGUCCUACUGCGUCAAAUCCGGGCUUUUUACAGGAGGGUCCCUGCCCCCUGCCAGGCUCCCACCUUUCACCCGGCCACCCCUCAUGAGUCAGGCUGCCACCAAUACUGUCAUAGUGACCAAUUCUGAGAAUGCGAGAUCCUGGAUUAAAGACUCCCAGACCCACCAGUGGAGGCUGGGAGAGCCGGUAGAGCUGCGGAGGGCCAUGAAUGUCAUCCAUGGGGAUGGUGGUGGUCUGUCAGGAGGGGCUGCAGCUGGGGUCACAGUGGGGGUCACCACCAUUCUGGCUCUUGCUAUCACCCUGGCCAUCUACGGCACCCGGAAGUUCAAGAAGAAAGCAUAUCAGGAAAUUGGGGAAAGGCAGAGUUUGGUUCCAGGCACUGCAGCAACUGGAGACACACCUCACGAAGAGCAGGGGCAGAGUCCAGCUUAAAUCUCUCCCCGAAAAUGGUUUCUCUCAUCUCCAGUGUGGUCACUGCUGACCACUCUGUUUUCCUAAACAUUGAAAUGGCAUGUGCAACCAAAAGUAGGUAUAUUUGUGACUUCUUGUUUAAGUCUCUGGGCCAGAAAAUUCACACUGUUACAUGGAUAAGGGUGAGAUUGGGGAGAGGGAACAGUUGGGAGUAGAAGCAAAAGCCAUUCUGGGACUAAAAUAGGAAACAGAUGCCCUUUCCCAGUGUGUGUUGCUGUCUUCACCUGAAUGCAUUUGUGUAAAAAUAGAGGAGGGAGAAUGCUAACAUUUGGAUUUGGAAGCCAUGAAUUUACUCUGAAGUUUGCAGUUGUUUCCAAUUUGUGAGCUCUAAGAGUUUCUGCCUGUAACAACUACCCUCCCUUUAUUUUGAUUUUUUAAAAGCUGUCUGAAUUUCACACUCUUAGAGCCCAGAAGAGUCCCGAAAAGACACAAGUCUUGCUUGGUUACUGCUUUUUAACUGUGAGGGCUCUAUGUUGACAGACUGUUAUCUACUCAGAGCCACCUCAAACAUCUGAAAAGAAAGAUGUUGCCUGUGCCGAUUCCACUUUUUCCAGCUGCCCCUUGAUGAACACUCCCUUACACCAGACCACUCUUGGACUUCUGACUGGUGUCAUCAAGUCCUCAGAAAAUAUUUUAACUUGUAAACUAUUAGUGGGUCAAAGAGGAAGGGAUGAUUUGGAGACAAGGAGUAAUGAAAGAUGGGUAAAAACUGAAAAAAUUCCGGUGCUGAGUACUACCGCUUUCAUCUUCCACGGAUGGUCAUGACCUUUCCUGUCCUCCUGUUACAUGAACACACACACACACACACACACACACACACACACACUCCACAUUUCAGUAAGUCUGCAUUGUUCUGGGGGUAAAACAGGCAAGAAAUUAAAGUAAGACCACAUUUAAGUAUUACUCUGUAGAAUCAAAACAGAGUAGUUAACACCAAUUAUGCAAGCUACUUUUUUUCCAGCAGAAAGGGAGCUGACAUGAUCAAAUCCAUGUUUUCAAAUGAACUGAAAAAGUCAUCCAGCACCACUUGUAACCCAUUUAUUUCAGUUCCAGGCCGAGAGCCCUGGGACAUCUAGCAGGAUGCAUAAUUGUCAUCUGGCAAUAGUUGGGACUUUGCUCAAUUUUAAUACCAAUCUCUCCUGAUUGCAAUUACCUCCACUACUUUCAUGAUCCCCUACAAUAUUUUUUAAAAUAAUACAUUUAUUCACUGAAUCAAAUGUCAUUAGUGAGUUAUCUUCUGUGGAGGAUGACUGUUCUCUUUGUUAAUGUUCACAAUCAAAAUCUUGGGCUGAGAAGAGGCCCUUCACCAACGAGUCUGAAGCAUCACAGCGUGUGGGAAGGUGGGAACCAGGAUCCCCAUUCAUUUCCAACUGAGACACAGAGAAGUGAGUCACAGAAUUUGAGCCCUGCUCUCUUGACUGCCCAGCCAGGGACACUGAUUUCUUUAAUGUCUUCACUUAAUCCUGCCUCUUAAGCAUUAAAACAUUCUCCUAAACCUCUGAGUGUUUUGUGGGUUCUGGGUGUUUUGUACGUUUUAGCCAAGUUAACCACUUGUCUGCAAAUACUGACUUUCCUAUGAAUUCUUUGAAGAUUAUUGAGUCAGAAAGGAAAAAUACAGCCCCAAAUUCCCAGGCUUUUAAUGCACUAACCGUGUAUUGAAAUGAAAAGUUCCUUACAAACCUAUAUUCCUACCAACAAGAUUGCACAUAAAUAUACAUUAAAAUAUGUACUAAGGAACCCUCUGUCCAACAGCUCAUGCAUGUGAAGUUAGAACAUGGGAGUCUGCCGGUUGCAUUCAUCAAAUCAUUUUGCAGAGUCAGAUCCCAGAUGGAAGAGCUCACAGGCUCUGCCUUCCAAGUCCUGGGUUCCUAACUGGUGGUCUUAGGCUGGGGUCUGUGGGGAGACCAACCCUGGCUUCCAAGAAAACCUCAUCCCAUGGACUAUCAGAAAUAGACACAGAUUUGGGUGACAAAGGUGGCUCUGCAUUUGCAUUUUAUUUUUGUGUUCUUGUCAGUUUGGGGAUGAUUAAUAUCAAACAUUUAUUUGAGAAA